AAGAGGACUGGUCGUAGAGGGACGAAGCCCGGCCAAUCAGCGCACAGUUUUUAACGAUCCCGGAGUCAAAUUCUCCGCCCCUUUAGACCACGCCCCCUAUCCCUAAGGGUCUUCUCAUUGGAGGAUUUCCCCGAGCGUCUUCACUGAAGAGGAGGGGGAGCUAAGCGGAGCGUGCACCAACCCAUGCUCGGGAGACUGUCCUAUGCACUUUACGAUGUUGGGUCACACCCCUCGCCUCUCUUCACUAGAUGCCAGUAAGACCUCUAUUCCCCAUUGUGACAACCAAAACUGUCUCCAGACAUUGCCAAAUAUCCCCUGGGCGCCAAAAUUUCUCCCCCAUUGAAAACCAUUGCCUCAGAGGUCACCAGAGAAGCCAGAGUGGAGACUGCGGGGAGUAUGGGUUUGAAUGAACUUUGGCUGCUCUAUCAAGCAAGCUGACUGCUGAGGAAACAUCAGAAGCUUUGCCCGAGUGACUCAUCACCCAAAUCCAACAGAGGGCAGUAUGAAUUGUCUCUGUCACAUGCAGCUCACAACCGUUGACUAAAAUACUUUGUGAAAAUCACCUGGAAAAUAGAAGGCCUGAAACCUGCUCUCAUAAGUAAUUUGCUGGACUGUGCACCCUCUAGAAAGCAAGGGAGAAUAAUGAUGAUGGAUUCACUACAGUGUUCUCUGGGCUGUGAUACUGGUAUACACACGGACUGCUCUGGAAAUACAAACAAGGACAUCUACAGGCUGGUGGCACCAAGGAUGCCUACCUGGAGUAGGAGGUAAUUGUGCUGAGUCUUGAGGAUGAGCUGGAUUUAUCCAUUCCACAAAUAUUUAUGGAGUGACUUUUAUGGAGCUAGGCUAUACUCUGGAAACACUGAGGGGGAGCAAGACAGACAUGAACACUGCCAUCAGGAACUCACGGCCU